rnacentral:rRNA from 1 species
GAUGAACGCUGGCGGCGUGCCUAAUACAUGCAAGUCGAGCGAACUGAUUAGAAGCUUGCUUCUAUGACGUUAGCGGCGGACGGGUGAGUAACACGUGGGCAACCUGCCUGUAAGACUGGGAUAACUCCGGGAAACCGGAGCUAAUACCGGAUAAUAUUUUUUCUUGCAUAAGAGAAAAUUGAAAGAUGGUUUCGGCUAUCACUUACAGAUGGGCCCGCGGUGCAUUAGCUAGUUGGUGAGGUAACGGCUCACCAAGGCAACGAUGCAUAGCCGACCUGAGAGGGUGAUCGGCCACACUGGGACUGAGACACGGCCCAGACUCCUACGGGAGGCAGCAGUAGGGAAUCUUCCGCAAUGGACGAAAGUCUGACGGAGCAACGCCGCGUGAGUGAUGAAGGCUUUCGGGUCGUAAAACUCUGUUGUUAGGGAAGAACAAGUACAAGAGUAACUGCUUGUACCUUGACGGUACCUAACCAGAAAGCCACGGCUAACUACGUGCCAGCCGCCGCAGUAA